UGCAGUCGAGCGGUAACAGAGAGUAGCUUGCUACUUUGCUGACGAGCGGCGGACGGGUGAGUAAUGCUUGGGAAUAUGCCUUAUGGUGGGGGACAACAGUUGGAAACGACUGCUAAUACCGCAUAACGUCUACGGACCAAAGGGGGGGAUCUUCGGACCUCUCGCCAUUUGAUUAGCCCAAGUGAGAUUAGCUAGUUGGUAAGGUAAAGGCUUACCAAGGCGACGAUCUCUAGCUGGUUUGAGAGGAUGAUCAGCCACACUGGGACUGAGACACGGCCCAGACUCCUACGGGAGGCAGCAGUGGGGAAUAUUGCACAAUGGGCGGAAGCCUGAUGCAGCCAUGCCGCGUGUGUGAAGAAGGCCUUCGGGUUGUAAAGCACUUUCAGUUGUGAGGAAAGGGGUGUAGUUAAUAGCUGCAUCCUGUGACGUUAGCAACAGAAGAAGCACCGGCUAACUUCGUGCCAGCAGCCGCGGUAAC
rnacentral:rRNA from 1 species